UACGUAGGUGGCAAGCGUUGUCCGGAAUUAUUGGGCGUAAAGCGCGCGCAGGCGGUCCUUUAAGUCUGAUGUGAAAGCCCACGGCUCAACCGUGGAGGGUCAUUGGAAACUGGGGGACUUGAGUACAGAAGAGAAGAGUGGAAUUCCACGUGUAGCGGUGAAAUGCGUAGAGAUGUGGAGGAACACCAGUGGCGAAGGCGACUCUUUGGUCUGUAACUGACGCUGAGGCGCGAAGGCUUGGGUAGCAAUAAGG
rnacentral:rRNA from 1 species